GACGAACGUUGGCGGCGUGCUUAAUACAUGCAAGUCAACUGAAGCAGUGGUAGCAAUAUCGCUGUGGAGGUGGCGCACGGGUGAGUAACACGUAGGUAAUCUGCCUUCAGGUCUGGCAUAACUCCGGGAAACCGGGGCUAAUAGCAGAUGAUGCAGCGGCUCGACAUCGAGACAGUUGUUAAAGCUAUGGCGCCUGAAGAUGAGCUUGCGUCUGAUUAGCUAGUUGGCGGGGUAACGGCCCACCAAGGCAACGAUCAGUAGCUGGUCUGAGAGGAUGAUCAGCCACACUGGAACUGAGACACGGUCCAGACUCCUACGGGAGGCAGCAGUAAGGAAUAUUGCUCAAUGGGAGAAAUCCUGAAGCAGCAACGCCGCGUGAGGGACGAAGGGCUUUUGCUUGUAAACCUCUGUAGUGAGAGAAAAAAAUCCCAAUCUUUGGGACAUGAUGGUAUCUCAAAAGUAAGCCCCGGCUAACUACGUG
rnacentral:rRNA from 1 species